GUCCCUGCAUAUGCAAAAUUCACUUUUUGGACAUUCUGGUACAUAUGACUCCCUGGUUCAUGUUAAGACACUCCUGCUGUGUUAGAAAUACACUCCCUUAUUUUACAUUUUGCGACUUUAUCCAAUCCGUUCUAAGAACGGAGGUUUCAAAUUUCCCAUACUGUCUAUGUCUACAGUCUUUAGACCCCUCACUGAACCAGCUCUAGCCCCGCCCAGACAAACCUGGACACCGAAAUUUACUUGCAACAUUGUGUCACUCACAGUCACUCACUGUGAUACAUGUCUGGCAUGUCAUGACAUGGCGCCAUUAGGAUUCCGGAAGUGCUUCAUUGUUAGUUGUUCCAACCGCCAUUGCAGCCUUUUCAUUUUACCAGCGGAGAAAGAAAGGAGAACUUUAUGGAUUAAUUUUAUUGUAAAUGGCCCCAUGCCCCAUGCACCGUUGCCUAAAUGCUUGUUCAUGUGUGGACACCAUUUCACCUCUGACUGCUUUGAAAACGAGAGUAUAUUCAUUACUGUGCUUGAGGUGGAAGAAGGGUUCUGUUCCUACAAAUGUGAUCCACUUGCUGCUUUCCCAAUCGCUGGCGCAUCCCAGCUACCAAAAGGAAAGGAGGUUGCUUCUCAAACUGAGACACCACUGACUGAAAGGAGAGUGGUGUCAAGGAAACCAGCUGCAUCCUUCAUCUGUACAGCUGCUGCACUGCUUCCGAUCGAAAUGUCUUUUAAAACAUGA
rnacentral:lncRNA from 1 species